rnacentral:misc_RNA from 1 species
AAACCCACGCCCACAUAUUCCGCAUCCGAGGGGACGAGUAGGCACACACGGACCGUGGCUGCCACACAACAAGUUGAUGGUCGCCGGGGACGCGUGUGCUACUUUGAUGUCCUCCCCGCACCCGCAGAGGGCACAAGGAGGAAAGGGGCAACGUUGGCAACUAAUUCCGUCAUAUUAGGUAUGCAACACAAGAACCCAAGAGGCUCAAGAGACACAUGGUCCUCAAAGCAAAACAAUGAGAGGUAGCGGAGCAUAAACAGUUCGAUGCCCAGAGCAC